rnacentral:rRNA from 1 species
GUUAUUGAAGAGCUUUUGGAUGAACUCCAUGGUGCCGCUUGGUUCUCCAAGCUAGACCUUCGAGCAGGCUAUCAUCAAAUCCGUUUGGCCCCAGUGGAAGAAUACAAGACGGCAUUCCAAACACAUCAAGGGCAUUUUGAAUUCAAGGUGGUUUCAUUUGGCCUUGCUGGUUCUCCAGCAACUUUCAUCGGAGCAGUCACCACAACUCUCAAACCUGUCAAUCGCGUCUGCGUCGUAUCCGUCUUUGAUGACAUUCUGGUUUUCAGUGUUUCUCUUGAAGAACAUUUGAUCCACUUGCUUCAGGUUUUGGGGCUACUGCGCAAGGAUAGUUGGAAGGCCAAGAUGAGCAAAUGUGUUUUUGGACAGCAGCAA